GCCUUCGUGGUGCAACGGUAGAGCACUCGGUGUGUAUUCGAGAGGUCCAGGUUCGAGUCCUGGCGUGGGCA
rnacentral:tRNA from 1 species